rnacentral:rRNA from 1 species
GACGACGCUGGCGGCGUGGAUUAGGCAUGCAAGUCGAACGGUAUCAUCCUUCGGGGGUGAGAGAGUGGCGAACUGGUGAGUAACACGUAGGUUAUCUACCCUCAAGACGGGGACAACCCAGGGAAACUUGGGCUAAUACCGGAUGUGAGCAACUUUUAGUUGUUUGAAAGGUGGCGUAAGCUGUCGCUUGGGGAUGAGCCUGCGUCCCAUUAGUUAGUUGGUGAGGUAACGGCUCACCUAGGCAAUGAUAGGUAGGCGGCCUUAACGGGUGGUCGCCCACACUGGGAUUGAGAUACGGCCCAGACUCCUACGGGAGGCAGCAGUCGAGAAUAGUCUACAAUGGUCGGAAGACUGAUAGUGCGACGCCGCGUGAACGAUGAAUCCCUUCGGGGUGUAAAGUUCUUUUAUAUGUGAGCAGUGCUUCUUAUAUUAACAGUAUGGGGAGAGAGAUAUUAGCAUAUGAAUAAGCAACGGCUAACUCCGUG